UACGUAGGGGGCAAGCGUUGUCCGGAAUCAUUGGGCGUAAAGAGCGUGUAGGCGGCCCGAUAAGUCCGCUGUGAAAGUCCAGGGCUCAACCCUGGAAUGCCGGUGGAUACUGUCGGGCUCGAAUCCGGAAGAGGUGAGUGGAAUUCCUGGUGUAGCGGUGAAAUGCGUAGAUAUCAGGAGGAACACCCAUGGCGAAGGCAGCAUACUGGUCGGCAUCUGACGCUGAGGCGCGAAAGCGUGGGUAGCAAACAGG
rnacentral:rRNA from 1 species